rnacentral:rRNA from 1 species
AUGGGUGCUAUGCUGCAGUCGAGCGACGCAUGCCCAGUUCGUAAGAACAGGGUAUGACGGAGCGGCGAACGGGUGAGUAACACGUGAGCAACCUGCCCCACAGACCGGGAUAGCCCAAGGAAACUUGGAUUAAUACCGGAUUCCCUCGAACAAUCGCAUGGUUGAUCGAGGAAAGGCCUUUGUGCUGUGGGAUGGGCUCGCGGCUUAUCAGCUAGUUGGUGGGGUAAAGGCCUACCAAGGCAUCGACGAGUAGCUGGUCUGAGAGGACGAUCAGCCACACUGGAACUGAGACACGGUCCAGACUCCUACGGGAGGCAGCAGCAGGGAAUCUUGCGCAAUGGGCGAAAGCCUGACGCAGCAACGCCGCGUGGGGGAUGAAGGCCUUCGGGUUGUAAACCCCUUUCAGGAGGGAAGAAAUUGACGGUACCUCCAGAAGAAGGACCGGCCAACUACGUGCCAGCAGCCGCGGUAAUACGUAGGGUCCUAGCGUUAUCCGGAAUCAUUGGGCGUAAAGAGCUCGUAGGCGGUUCAGCAAGUCGGCUGUGAAAGUCCGAGGCUUAACCUCGGAAUUGCAGUCGAUACUGCUGUGACUCGAGUCCGGUAGAGGAGAAUGGAAUUCUCGGUGUAGCGGUGAAAUGCGCAGAUAUCGAGAGGAACACCAGUAGCGAAAGCGGUUCUCUGGGCCCGGCACUGACGCUGAGGAGCGAAAGCGUGGGGAGCAAACAGGAUUAGAUACCCUGGUAGUCCACGCCGUAAACGUUGGAUACUAGGUGUGGCGGUUGUACA